rnacentral:rRNA from 1 species
UCCAGAGGGCUCAAGCGUUGUUCGGAUUCAUUGGGCGUAAAGGGUGCGUAGGCGGCGCGGUAAGUCGGGUGUGAAAUCUCGGAGCUUAACUCCGAAACUGCAUUCGAUACUGCCGUGCUUGAGGACUGGAGAGGAGACUGGAAUUUACGGUGUAGCGGUGAAAUGCGUAGAUAUCGUAAGGAAGACCAGUGGCGAAGGCGGGUCUCUGGACAGUUCCUGACGCUGAGGCACGAAGGUCAGGGGAGCAAACGGG